UGGGGAAUAUUGGACAAUGGGCGAAAGCCUGAUCCAGCAAUGCCGCGUGAGUGAUGAAGGCCUUAGGGUUGUAAAGCUCUUUUACCCGGGAUGAUAAUGACAGUACCGGGAGAAUAAGCCCCGGCUAACUCCGUGCCAGCAGCCGCGGUAAUACGGAGGGGGCGAGCGUUGUUCGGAAUUACUGGGCGUAAAGCGCGCGUAGGCGGCUUAGCAAGUUAGAGGUGAAAGCCCGAAGCUCAACUUCGGAAUUGCCUUUAAAACUGCAAAGCUAGAAUCAUGGAGAGGUGAGUGGAAUUCCGAGUGUAGAGGUGAAAUUCGUAGAUAUUCGGAAGAACACCAGUGGCGAAGGCGACUCACUGGACAUGUAUUGACGCUGAGGUGCGAAAGCGUGGGGAGCAAAC
rnacentral:rRNA from 1 species